GAUGAACGCUAGCGGCAGGCUUAACACAUGCAAGUCGAGGGGUAACAGAAGAGCUUGCUUUUGCUGACGACCGGCGCACGGGUGCGUAACGCGUAUACAAUCUACCUUUUACUAAGGAAUACCCCAGAGAAAUUUGGAUUAAUGCCUUAUAGUAUAUUGACUUGGCAUCAAGAUGAUAUUAAAGAUUACGGUAAAAGAUGAGUAUGCGUUCUAUUAGCUAGAUGGUAAGGUAACGGCUUACCAUGGCGACGAUAGAUAGGGGCCCUGAGAGGGGGAUCCCCCACACUGGUACUGAGACACGGACCAG
rnacentral:rRNA from 1 species